rnacentral:lncRNA from 1 species
CUGUCCCGUACACAAUAAUACUUAGAGAAACACCAAACAAUGAAUUAUCACUCAACUCUUCCUUGUGAAAUGCAGGUAUAAGGAGAUGAGAAGAGAAAGAACUCCACUAAACCAAGCAGCUUGGGAGGGUGGGUUCGCUCAGGGAAGAUGUGGAUAGGAUAUUUGAGAUGUUAGAAAAACUCAUUGCAGCCCAGCAGGGCCGAGAGGAGAGGAGGGAGCUACCUGACCCUCCCCCGCUUCCACAGGUUGAGCCACCACUGCAGCGAGAGGAUCCUGAGCCACCUCGGUACGACCCUGCUCCUCUACAGUACCACCCAGUGCCACUGCUGCAGUAUAAUCUAAUGCCCUAGCCACAGUACUGCCCGACACCGCCAUAGUAUAAUCCAGUGCCCCCACCAUACCAGCAAGUACCACCAUAGGGCCCCCCAGUCUAUCCUCAGCCUGGCCCAGUCCCUCUUCCGUAAGACCCAACUCCUUUUAUGAUUGAUCCAGGCUACAUAGAGAGGUAUAGGAGACUGAAC